GACGAAGGAUGCAAGCGUUGUCCGGAAUCACUGGGCGUAAAGGGCGCGUAGGUGGCCUGAUGAGUCAACGGUGAAAGCUCGUCGCUCAACGACGAGUCGGCCGUCGAUACUGUCGGGCUGGAGCACUGUAGAGGCUCAUGGAAUUCCGGGUGUAGCGGUGGAAUGCGUAGAGAUCCGGAAGAACACCGGUGGCGAAGGCGGUGAGCUGGGCAGUUGCUGACACUGAGGCGCGACAGCGUGGGGAGCAAACAGG
rnacentral:rRNA from 1 species